CCACCUGCUGAGGGCACUGCUGACCCAGGAGAGGGAGGCAAUGGUGCGGAUAGAAUUAGCACUCUGUCCGCCUGAGCCAUGCAUGAAACCAUUAACAAGGAAGGAAGAAAAGGAGACGAAACCAGGAAAAGGACAUGAACCGCAAAAGUCAUUCAGGGUGCAGUUGUUGGCAAGUUGUCGCCCAAAGCGUCUCAGAGCCCAGCCGCGGGGUGCUGCUCACUUGGAAGAGAGACAGAUGAGACAGAGAAGGAUCUGUCCUCAGGUGACUAGCUCCAAGACGCACAUGUAGGACACAGAGACAGAUGGAUGUGGCUGUGCCGGUAGCAGUGCAGGACCAUGCCUGUUGUAUUGAGUGUGCUUCUCCUCCUCUUUCGUCAGACCCUCCUACUGGGGAUGCUGUCUCCUCCACAGAAUGUGACGCUAACAUCUGAAAAUUUCCAUAUUCUCUUGGUGUGGGAGCCCGGUUCCGGCUCAGGCAAUGGCACCCAAUACGAGGUUCAAAGUUGCCAGCGCUCUUCUAACUGGACCAAAGUGGACACCUGUUGGAGGAACAGCACCAGAUCAUCACACACAUGCAAACUGUACUUCGAAGACAUACACAAAUUGUACUGGGCCAGGGUGAGAGCCAUGGAUGGAGCCCUGGUGUCCGAAUGGGCCAUUUCCAAUGAACUACAACCGUACAGAGACACGAUUGUGGGUCCCCCUAUCCUGACUCUUAUACUGGUGAAUGAGAAUCUGACCGUAAUUCUGUCCAUGCCACUCACCCCUUAUCGCAGGAGAAAUGGCACUUACAAGUCAGUCCAGAAAGUGCUACCGAACUGGAAGUACCGGAUCAGCCUUUCCGAAAAGGGUGUUCAUAUCAACAACGUGUCCUUUCAGCCAGAGGGCAAGAUAACUUCGCACACAUUUGAGUAUCUGAAACCAAAUACCAAUUAUUGUGUCACAGCCCGUGUGGUCAGAGAGCAAAGCAAGGUGUCUGUGCAAUGUAUCAAGACUCCAGACAGUCCAGCAGAUUUCCUCUGGGACCUUGUUCUUGUUCUGGUUGCCCUCCUCGUGCUGCUUCUGCUGAGUGCUGUUGGCUUCUAUUUCCUCAAGCUCUACAUGUAUUCAAGUGUCUCGAAAAUGCCCUUCCCCAAAACACUGGCUAUUCUGAAUGAAGAACUAAAUGUGAACCUCUGGAACAAGUCACUUGCCCAUGACCUCGAGAGUGCCUCUGUCACUCUAAUCUCGGUGGCUGGGCUUGCCUCAAAUGGUAACUCUCCAGUGGAGCAAGAAAGACUCCAAAUCCAGCUACUUCCGGAAGGCUGCCAGGCCUGGAAGGAGGAAGGUUACUGUGCCAAUGGGUUUGGGCCAGGCUACUGUGAAAACAUGGUCUCUUCCAGUUCCUCAGGCCAGCUGGAGUUUGCUGGCACUGUAGACCCUGAAGCCCCCUUGUCAUCAGCAGGACAGAUGAAGGAUGGAUAUGCAGGUGAAGGGAACUACAGGACUGCCCUGGAGGCCCAGCUUCCCAUGGGCCAGUUGGUGUUUUCUGAGCAGCUAUCUCCAGUGUCAGCAGCACUGGCCAAAGAUGGUUAUGUGAGUGACAGGGGCUACCAGACUUGCUCAGAGAUUCGGAUUCCUCGGCACCUCCAGAUUUAUUGCAAGUGCUCAUCUCCAGUAUCAGAAACCUGCAGUCUUUCACCACCAACCUGCAGCCUUAGGGACCUUAAAAAGAACACUGAUGGCAAGAGUAGAGGGUGGCCACCCAUGGACUGGGUUGAUAUUCCUCUCAGCUCCGUGAAACUGAAGGUCAAUGAAGAAACACAAAACCACCUUGCUCCUUUUCCCAGGCACUUGUACAGUCACACUGCCGAUAAGACAAUGAAGGACAGCAAAGCAGACUUGGCAAGGCUGGGUCAGAGUGACGUAGAACAGCAGGAGUACCUACCUGUGAGCCGAGAGCAGCAUGGCCUCCCAGAGCGCACAGAGCUUAGUGAUGACCCCAGUGGGGAGCCAUACCCAAAGGCUGAUGACACUAAGAUCAUGACUUUCUAUAGCUAUGAAUUACGCCCUCAAGUGCCUAUCCUGUAGCUAAUGAUGCUGGAGCUGGGAAGAAGUCAUUAAUGUACCGGGAGAUUUCCCAUAUGUUUAUCCACGUGCAAGGGGUUUGAUUCUGGACUCACUUGUAGUGGUAUGAAUCAAGAUUGACUCCACUGAAGUGUUAUAUACAUAAAACCAGUAAGAUCAGACUCUGGAAUUGGGCUGAAAACAAAAUCCUAACUCCAAAUCCAUGAACCUUCACCCCUGAACAGCAGCCCCUCAGUUGGAAGUUCACUGCCCCGGGUGAUUGGAUUUGGCCAUGUAGCCAAUAGAGAUAGUUUGACCUGUGAAUUUAGGUACAGCCUUUUGGUUCAGGCCCACCUGCAAUAGAAACCAACGGAGGCUUAUGGUUUUGACUGAGUUUUAGUAUGAGUUUGUGGGUCCAUCUGAAACUUAAGGAAAACAUAAGGUAUGUGAAACCCACACAAAGCAAAAACAAGGGAAAGGCUCUGAGUGGUUCCUGAGACCUGAUCGAAUCACAUUUCUCAUACAGCUUUAGUGACAGACAAACUGAGAGGGUGACUUUCUCUCUAGUAAAUGUAUAUAUCUGACGUGAAGCUGGAAACAUUGAAUGUACAUUCCUGUCACCAAAAGACAAGGGAGCCCUUGAAAGAUAUGACAGUGAAACUGGAUCUAAAUUGCCAAAGAUUGGCAAAAUUCUUGACACCCAUUGGGUGGCAUCAAGUUUUAGAACCACAAAUGCUGCCUGGAACUCCUACUCAGCUUCACAUAGGCACUUUGCAGAAGCCCCCCAAGACAUGUCUCAAGACAUUAGAGAAAGAAGCAAGUAUGAUGGCCUUAAGACGAAGAUAGCAUCUAAUGCAGUUUUGAAAGACUUGGGAAUGAUGAAUGAUGCUCAUCUAGAAUGCACGGAACUAGCAGAGGUUUACAGAAGAAUGAUUGCACACAAGUUGUUACUUAAGCAAGUAGACCUUUUUAAAGCCGUGGAAGUACAACCAGGUGAUUAUUUAUUCAAAGCGCAGAAAGCAGCAGAGGAUGGUGUAUUUCAGACCGUUUCCAUUGUGGAAGGAGGAGCCACAAGAAAGAAACUAUUUGCCCCAGAGACAGACACAGAGCUCAUAGCCAGUAUAAACGUUCUUGAUCCAGUAUAUUGGCCAACUGGAGAACAAAGUGCUUUGCAUGGAGAAAAGGAAAUAAAGGAAAUCUGCUGUCAGUUUUAGCUGUAUGUUCAUGAGAUUUUGCAAGCCUCCUGAAUUUACAAAGAUUUUGGAGUGAAACUAUGUCUUGAUGCUCUGAAAAGCCUUUUAAUUUGUGUGAAAUUACUGCCUGCCAUCACUGAACAUGGAUUUAGUGCUAUGAACAACUACUUCAAGAUCAUCCAUUCAUGUUCGCAUACUGACAUCCUGCAGGUGACUCAAGCUUAAUGGUCCUUCUGUAGCAUGAUUUUAACAACGUCUGGCAAGAGGAAGGCAUUCUGCAGCUCAGAAGAACUGUAUGAAAUGGAAGAAUACAUCAGACAAUAAUCCUACUCAUGAAGGACUUUGGUAGUUGUUUUGUUAGGUUAUGUUGGACAAUCUCCACAGUUAGCCAAGGACAGUAAGUUAAAAUUUAAAACUUUAAACUAAUUAUCACUUCAUUGCAGGGGUGGAUUGAUUUAAAUUGAAGACAUUUGAAUCACCAAUUUUAAUAAUUAUUUUAAUCAGCAAGUAGGAAACCUUGAUUAAAAUAAGUAUUUUAAUCUUAUUUUAUAUGUGUACUUUUUAGUUAUUUUUCUAAAGAAAGGUUAAUUCUCAUUGGUUGGUAAGCAUUAAAAUAUAAUGAUUUGCACCUAAAUAUAGCCUUAACACUAAAUUUGAUGCUUCUUUUGCUAACCAGGAGUAUACACUGUAUCUAUACACAUUGAUUUAAGAAAUUAUAUAACUUAACUUACACUUACUCAGAUUCUUAUUUUUCACAUUUUUUAUAAUGUUACAAAAUGUGAUGCAUUUCUUAUUUACUAGAUGAUUAAAUUUUUACUUGCGUUUUGUGUCAAAAUCUAUUUGGAUGGAAAUUGAAAUUCAAUUAGAAAUGUUAAAUAAAACUCUUAAAUGUAUUGGAUACAAAAGAAAAAAACAUUUAUCAAAACAUGUUUUGCAUUUAAAACUAACUGAUUUAUUAAACAAAAUAUCUAUAGCUAGGGAAUUUCUUGUUCACUCUGCCUCAGUGGAAAUUCUGGUGCCCAUCUCUCUCUGCAUUUAAAAUCAAUAACAAUAAAUAGGUAUGAUUUUUUUCAUGCAGUAAAAAUUGAAUGUGAUUAUUAUGUAAUAAAUGUAUACAUACAAUUGUGACUUGUCUGUAUCAAGUGCAUAAAAAUGUAUUUUGGCUGGGAUCAUGACAGGUUUCCCGCAUUUUUCAGGCCACUUUAACUGUAUUGCCAACCCCAAAAGUUCAAAAAUCAAGAAAUUG